rnacentral:lncRNA from 1 species
UUGUUCUCUCAGACUCUCUGAAAAUCUAUAUGAAAUUAAAUGAAUUAACUUUGCCUUUCUUCUACAAUAUGCAGUGGUUGACAUAGAGAGUUGCAACGGGAAUUAAACGCAUUAAUUUUGACGGUCUCUAGUGGCAAGCUUUUGAUACAAAGGGCUAGGUGAGUGUGUAGUUUUUGCCUGCUUUCUUCUCUUGAAUAAACAAACAGGGAGUGAAUGUAACAAUAACAUGAUGAUUUUGAUGUAAAAUUUUUGCUGGUGUUUUUUCUUCUUUGAAGUAUGUGGUUGCAGAGUAAGCUUUUAAUGGAAUUGUAGCAUAUGUCAUGGCAAUAGCAAAUAGUAAAUCAGCGUCCUUCUGUUCUAGAUACACAAUUUACUACUCAUCUUUCCAAACUGAAGCUAAAAAUUUAUUGGUUAUACAUAAUAAUGAAACUCACGUGUUGUCGAUCAUCAUAAAGAUUUUUGGUCUUCAGAGGAUUAUACCUUCAAGUAGUCACAAUGUAAUGUUUUUUUUAGACCUGGUAGUUUUUUUUGAGUAAUUAUCAAUUACUAAUGCAACUUGCAUUUUAAUACUUGCAAAUCUU